UCAGAGUUUGUGCAAUCAAAAAGGGUCAGGAGCACUCUUUAUUGUCUGGUCUAUCUCCGUCGGCGUGCCAUUCAUCUUCGGGGUAUCGCCAUCUACGGUCCUAUAAUGUUUUUCCCCAAACCGGGAUGAGACUUUGUCUCAGCAAAUUCACCCCUCCUAAACCCCUAUUAGAAAGCAAAUACACCCCAAAAUGGUCUAGCCGCACAGUACAUAAGACUUACCUCGCCUUCUCGCCUUCCUGCAGGUUAGUAUAAUUCAUAUCACUCAAGCACCAGUAAUGAUACAAAUGUAAGCCAUCAGAACACAAUCAAUUUCACUUAAUUUCACAAUCACAGUAAGCGUUCCAUGACAUCAUUAUCCACUGCCACACAAAGGCACAGCCUACACGUAGGCCGGCCAUCUACUAGCAUUACGGCAUUUCUAGAUGAGUAAAGGUCCAGUCAGUCUCGCCACUACUGCGACCAAGCCACGUCGUUCUAUCGACGGCAUUUCUAGGAGAAUAAAGGUCCAGUCGGCCUCGCCACUACUGCAACCAAGCCACGUCGUUCUAUCGACAGCAUUUCUAGAAAAGUAAAGGUCCAGUCGGUUUCGCCACUACUGCGACCAAGCCACGUCGUUCUAUCGACAGCAUUUCUGAAAAGUAAAGGUCCAGUCGGUCUCGCCACUACUGCAACCAAGCCACGUCGUUCUAUCGACAGCAUUUCUAGAAAAGUAAAGGUCAAGUCGGUCUCGCCACUACUGCGACCAAGCCACGUCGUUCUAUCGACAGCAUUUCUAGGAGAAUAAAGGUCCAGUCGGUCUCGCCACUACUGCGACCAAGCCACGUCGUUCUAUCGACAACAUUUCUAGAAAAGUAAAGGUCCAGUCGGUCUCGCCACUACUACGACCAAGCCACGUCGUUCUAUCGACAGCAUUUCUAGAAAAGUAAAGGUCCAGUCGGUCUCGCCACUACUGCGACCAAGCCUUUCAACCAGCACACGACAAUUCAAAAUCAACUCCUGUAUACUUUACAUGUCACUCACAUACUCCAAUUUCAAUAUUAACCCUUCAAAUUUCGAUUUCGGUGCCAAACCCAACACGUGGGAAUUUUUGAAUAAAAUUCCUAUUUUUCACAAUCAACAUUCAAUUUGCAAUAUUUACUCAUCAAAUUCAAAUUCUAAACACAUAGCAACGAUCAGCAUGAAAUUCUAAGAAAAUAGGGUCAAAAGUAAAUUUUCGAGUUUUUUUUUCGGAUUAUAAUAUAAUAUUAUAUUUCCCAGAAUUUUCGAAGCAAUUAAAUAAUUCAAAAAUAAAAUCCUAUUAUGUCCCAUCAAGGUUUAAUAUUAAAUAACUCCUUUUAACCUUAAUUAAACACACUUUAAUAUAAACCAAUCACUUAAUCAAACUUAUAAUUAAAUAUACUAAUCUAUCCACCUAAACUUACUUAAUUUAAACUAAACACACUUAGGGCAUCAUUAACAUUCUAAUCAAGGUUUAGUGAGGUAAACUCACUUGAUUAACUCGCCGCUUAGACCAAAACGACGAGGGCGACGCCGGGAUCAACUUUUCCAAAGGCGAGCCUAGCUUCCGGGGCCGGGAAGGUGGCCAAAACAGGCCUUGAGUGGGCU
rnacentral:lncRNA from 1 species